ACUCAAAUGAAUUGACGGGGGCCCGCACAAGCAGUGGAGUAUGUGGUUUAAUUCGAAGCAACGCGAAGAACCUUACCAGGGCUUGACAUCCCUUGACGACGUAAGAGAUUACGUUUCCCUUCGGGGCAAGGAGACAGGUGGUGCAUGGUUGUCGUCAGCUCGUGUCGUGAGAUGUUGGGUUAAGUCCCGCAACGAGCGCAACCCUUGUUUUUAGUUGCCAGCAUGUAAUGAUGGGCACUCUAGAGAGACUGCCGGUGAUAAAUCGGAGGAAGGUGGGGACGACGUCAAAUCAUCAUGCCCCUUAUGUCCUGGGCUACACACGUACUACAAUGGCUAUUACAGCGCGAUGCAAUAUCGUAAGAUGGAGCAAAACGAUAAAGAUAGUCCCAGUUCGAAUUGUGGGCUGAAACUCGCCCACAUGAAGUCGGAAUUGCUAGUAAUGGCAGGUCAGCAUACUGCCGUGAAUACGUUCCCGGGCCUUGUACACACCGCCCGU
rnacentral:rRNA from 1 species